AUACAAUAGCAUGAAAACUUAUCCCAGAGAACAAUUGACUCUGUCCACAUAUGUUAUUAACCUCUAGGUUAAUUUUGCGCCAGAAUUGCCCAUUAACUUUUGAACUGCAU